ACUUUAUCAUUACUUUUUCUUUUUCAGUUUUUCUUGUUUCUUUCUAUUCACCACCAGCAACCCUUCUUCCCUAACCUUCCCCAAAAUCCAGCUUCAGAAAAACUAAAGAAAGAAAGAAAAAAGAAAGGAAGGAAAGAAACGGAACAAGAGAGAGAAGGUUGGCAGAAGAGAGAGAUCUGAAGAGAGAGGGAGAGAGAGCGCCAUUGAACAGAACGCGAGAAGGGAGAGGAGUUGUAUUCUGUUGUUGACGUCGCACCACCGCCACGCCGCCGUGCUGUGCGAAGUCACCGCCGUCGCCUCGAGCCUCGCCGUCGUCUGUGCUCAUCGCUGUCGAGGGUCCAUCCACGCCGUCGCUGGAGCUUGAACGCCGCUGCAACCACCGCGUGUUAUCAUCUUCAGAUCUGCCGCCGUUUGAGUUGCGAACAGGGGAACGCGCGCGAAGGAAACUGUCGCGGAGCUGCCGUCGCCGCCGCGUUGAUGGGCUCUCCGUCGUUCUGCUCGCGCGGCUGCUGCGUUGUCGGAGCUCCUCGCUGCCGCUGCUAACGCCGGAAACCGCCUUUCAAGCCUGUAUCUAUUGGGAGGAGUCCGAGCAAGAAAAGGAAGAAGGUGGGGAUGGAUACCUCCACUGCUGCUGCUGUUACUAUCGGUGUUCCGGAGCUUGCAGUUCCUGCCGUUUUUGGUGAUGAACCUGGUUGUGUCCUUGCUGCUGAUUGAUUGUAGUGAGAGAUGUUGUAGCCACUACUUUUCAUCUUGGUAAGUUUAUGGGUAAGAUCGCUUUGAUUCUUCUUUGUGCCAUUUUAUUUACGCAGCUAGUUUUGAUCUGUUUAAUUUACCAGAGUCACUAUUGUCAUAUCUCGGCGCUGCCGCCCUUGUUUGGAACCACUAAAUGUUGUUGUCUCCAGUAGCACUAUUCUUCCUAUUUUGAUUUCAACUCCUUUAAUUCUGAAAUUUAUAAUGUUUCUGCCUUUAUCCUACUGCUAUUUGGUUUUCUUGUGCUACCCUUACUCUAAUUACAGAAAUAUGUUUCCAUUUUAGCCACUGUCAAUUUAUCUAUUGCAAAGUCAUAAUUGAUAAUGGAGCUGCUAAGAUCGCUGCUGCUGCCAUGAAUUGGGGAUAAAGGGGAUUAUUGAGUUAAAUUCUGCCAUUGAGACAUCGAGAUGUAGGUCGAGAGGCUCCUCGCUAGGCGUCUGUAUUUUCUGAAGCGGAGUAGU